CAGAUAAGUAAUCAUAAAUAAAAUAAGGCAUGACAACUCAUCUCAAAAUAUUCACGUGUUCACAUAAAAUCACGUUUUGAAAGAAAAGAAGAGCCCACCUCGUUUGCUCAAACUCUUUCAAACGAGUGCUUUUCCUGUCCUAGGAUUACGCGUCAUGCGACGACGUUCCUUUAAAAAUUAAUAUACUUAAAUGAGGCUUUAAGUAAUUAUUCAUCUUGCAUGAAUGCAUGCCUAAGCGUGUGCUUAUUAUUUUAUUUCGUUCUUUCUAAAUUUAGAAAUCUUAAUUCUGCAACUACAUCAGCGAUGUAAUUUAUUCGGAAUCUGGCCGAACUGUGCGAGUAUACUAAAUUCCCGGAUUAUCAAGUAUUUUAAAAUACUUCCUGUCACUAAUAAAGGGUUUGCUUUAGUUAUUUAUCUAAUACUACUUCACACGGCUUAAUAAUUUGUCUUCUUCCGUGGCUUGGGGAAUUUCUCUUGUUAAAUCCCGAAUUUGUUUAGGGCUUUGGUCUAGCGGAUUUAAUUCUAUGCUAAAGCCCAGAUUUUGUUAAGUGGAUGAAAUUCUUUUAUUUAAUUUGGCCCAGCCUUCUUUUCUAUGGCCCAAUUUAAUUUAAUCUCAGGCCCAAAAGAGAUUUAAAUUCCUCUAAACAAAGGCCCAAAUUUUAUUUUAAAUGGGCAUGGCCCAAUUUUAUACUCCUAUCCGUCUACUGCCUCUCUCCCUUCUCUUCUCCCCAAUUUCUCAUUUCCUUCUUCAAAUUAAAACCCCAAACGAAGUAGGCAAACUCUAGCUCCAUCGCCGCUGUACCGGAUCCUACUUCUCCUCCCUCUCUUGAACCCUCGCCUCUCUCUGUCUUUUCACUACUUCCCCAAUCUGGAGCAAUCAAAAUAUGAAGCCAAUCCUCCAACUGAGAUGGGGGUCAAGACCGGAGGAUGGAACCAGCGUCGCCGUCAUCUCCUCUCCGGCGCUCGCACAGCAGCUGCUGGAAUCAGCAGUGCUCGCCGACGCUUCGCGAGGCAUCAGCCGUUGCUGUCGAUUCGCGCUGCUGGUUCUAGGUCGCCGCUGCACCAGGGAGUUAACGUGGCUGAUUUCGCGGCCUCGCCGUCGCCGGUGGUCUCCGAGGCAACCCCUCGGCCUUAAAGCUAAACCCCCCUUUCUAUAAGUUAAGACUUCUACUGUCUUCUCUAGCAUAAUACGUUAUGGUUUUGGUAGCAACUAUGUGGGUCUAAUUAUUUGAGCUUACUGUUGAGAUUAUAAGCUUUGAGGCAGCCUAUGAUUGUUCUUGUUUCAAAAAAUUGUGUGAUGCGGGAAAUCUAAAGCUCUAAGUUCUUGAGUAUGAGAUUCGACUAUGAUGCAGAGGGAAGUAUUUUGAUUACCUGUUGCGGCCAUGAUUUGAAAGGGAUUCUCUUGCUGGACUUACACCACUUGUUGGUUUUCCUUUUCUCAACUCACUAUUCUAAUUUCUGGAAGAUUUCCAAGUAUGGAAAUGAGAAAGCGUUGUGGUGUAUGGAGAGGUUUUUAUAGGUGAUUUGGUAACUGCAAAUCUGCUACUCUUGAUCCUCUUGCAGGGACAUUUUUGUUGGUUGUGAGAGUGUACUCAUGUUUGUUACAAAACUGAUUCCCAUUUUGUUUUCCACAUGCAACAUAUCUUCCCUUCAUGAUCCUGUAGUACUUUUUAAUUAAUGUUGUUUGGUGUUUAGCUUGGGACAAAAAGGACUCUUGAAAUUAUGUUUCUUGUUUGAUUUCUGCAGUGUGUACAUAGGGUUGGGGUGGUUGUUAACUGCAGCUCUGCAGCGUCCUAUUUCUCUGUUCUUUUGCAGCAUAAACACUAAGGUCUUUGUACGGUUUCGCAUGUGUAAGGUGAAGCAGGGGCAGGUGGCUGGAGUGCAGGGAUUGUCUGCCAGCUUUAUGUGCAGCUCCUUCCCACUCAUAGAAAGGGAAAAGAGACUAUUCGUUGCCGGCUAUUAGCUCGUUGCAUCGGCCCAUCGUCCGUCGGCAGUUGAGGCAAUAACCGGUGUUAAACAUGCCGUAGCUAGUUCCCACUCCUUCCUCCUAUUGUAAUAGAGUAGCUCUACAUGUAACUUUCUUCAAUAUGUAAUAGCUAGUUGACGUGUAUUUCGUUUGUCUUUGUUUUCGUCGUCAAGCAUUUUGUGAAAUAAAGCUUAGUUUGGAACUUCUAA